GAUGAACGCUGGCGGCGUGCUUAACACAUGCAAGUCGAACGAGAAAUGUAGACGGAAACCUUCGGGCGGACGCCUUCAUUUCGAGUGGCGGACGGGUGAGUAACGCGUGGGUAACCUGCCUCAUACAGGGGGAUAACAGUUGGAAACGACUGUUAAUACCGCAUAAGACCACAGCAUCGCAUGAUGCGGGGGUAAAAACUCCGGUGGUAUGAGAUGGACCCGCGUUCGAUUAGCCAGUUGGCGGGGUAACGGCCCACCAAAGCGACGAUCGAUAGCCGAUCUGAGAGGAUGACCCGCCACAUUGGGACUGAGACACGGCCCAAACUCCUACGAGAGGCAGCAGUGGGGAAUAUUGCACAAGGGGGGAAACCCUGAUGCAGCGACGCCGCGUGAGUGAAGAAGUACUUCGGUAUGUAAAGCUCUAUCAGCAGGGAAGAAAAUGACGGUACCUGAGUAAGAAGCCCCGGCUAACUACGUG
rnacentral:rRNA from 1 species